CCCUCCGAUUUUUUAUCCUACCGGUUUGAUCGACCAAUCUCGUUCUGUUUUUAAAACAUUGCUCAAAGGAGGACGUAGCAACUACUCACUCCAAUCAACGAAUCUAACAAAAAUGAUGUUUUGUUUAUAAUAGUGAUUGAGAUGGAGUAGUAACAAAAGGUGUAAUAUUUUUGGAUAAGUUGGGUUUGGGCACCAGUACUCAUCAGAGUCGGGGUAGAC
rnacentral:lncRNA from 1 species